rnacentral:rRNA from 1 species
CCUACGGGAGGCAGCAGUGAGGAAUAUUGGUCAAUGGACGAGAGUCUGAACCAGCCAAGUAGCGUGAAGGAUGACUGCCCUAUGGGUUGUAAACUUCUUUUAUAUGGGAAUAAAAUGUUCCACGUGUGGGAUUUUGUAUGUACCAUAUGACUAAGGAUCGGCUAACUCCGUGCCAGCAGCCGCGGUAAUACGGAGGAUCCGAGCGUUAUCCGGAUUUAUUGGGUUUAAAGGGAGCGUAGGUGGAUUGUUAAGUCAGUUGUGAAAGUUUGCGGCUCAACCGUAAAAUUGCAGUUGAAACUGGCAGUCUUGAGUACAGUAGAGGUGGGCGGAAUUCGUGGUGUAGCGGUGAAAUGCGUAGAUAUCACGAAGAACUCCGAUUGCGAAGGCAGUUCACUGGACUGCAACUGACACUGAGGCUCGAAAGUGUGGGUAUCAAACAGGAUUAGAUACCCUAGUAGUC